rnacentral:rRNA from 1 species
UGGUGGAGUGAUUUGUCUGGUUAAUUCCGUUAACGAACGAGACCUCGACCUGCUAAAUAGUUCUGUGAACUUCUUCGUUCAUCAGAACUUCUUAGAGGGACUAUCGGUGUGUAGCCGAUGGAAGUUCGAGGCAAUAACA